AAUGAGAAGAGAUUAUGAGAGGGCAUAGGGAUUGGGAAUCUCAAUUGGCGCUUCAGCAAAUUUAGGGAGUGAGUGAGUGAGUGAACCUCCAGAUCGUCAUCCCCACCUGUCCUUUCCUCUGCCAUAUCCUUUUUCUUUUUCAUUGUUUUUUUUUUAUAACGCACCUCACAAGUUUUCUCUCGUUCAAAUCCAUUCUGAGGCUGCGGAGCCUCCAAGUUUCUAUUCCCUUCCUUUGCUUUUGUUCAUCAUGCCCUCAGGCGCUAAGAAGCGAAAAGCUGCCAAGAAAAAGAAGGAAUUGGAAGCUCAUAUCAAUCCUUCUCAAGGAAAUGAGGAUGCUAAGAACCAAGAUGAUAAGGGAAGUGACAGUGGUGAGAUUGAUUCCCCAGCUUCUCAGAAUCACCCAAGCCACAGUAAUCCAUUUGGUGAGGGGAGUAAGGAAAUACAAGAGAGCAGCUCGUCCGAUGCUGGGGUCUCGAGCAAUGUAGGGACUAAUCAGAAAGUAGGACUUGUAUCUGAGAGAAAAAAUGGUAAUGUUCAGAAUGAGUCUGUGAAAGGAUCACGUGCUGACGAUCAUAGCAGUAGUAGUUCAGAUGAUGAGUCUGUGGAUCCAACAAAGAAACCUGAGGUACUGGAUGGGAAGACCAAUGAUUUGGUUGUGCCAACUGCUGCCUCUAUUGUUGACUCGAUUACACCAGAGCUCUCGGCAUCUGAGGAAACUAUCAGCAUUGCUGAAAGUGCAUCUGUUGAAAAUACUGCCACACCUGAUAUGAUUGUUUCGAAAAAGUUAGAGACAACCCCCUUCUCCACAACAGAUGGAGUUACAUAUGUGCUAGUGACAGCUCCAAGGGAUCUAUCAUCAAAACCAAAUGAAGAUAGAAAUUUACACUUAUCAGGAACUAAUAAUUUUGCAGCACAUGCCAAAAAUUCUGAAAGUGCAAAAAAUUCCAAACCUGAAUCUGAAGAUCAGCCGUUGAUUGGGUCAAGGCCACCAGUGCCACAAAGGACCUCAUGGUUGAGUUGCUGUGGUUUAUGUGAUGUAUUUACCAGCUCGGACCGAUAAUUACAGUUUCUAUAUAUAGGGAAUGAAAAUUCUUCACAGGAGGGGUGAAGGUUUAAACAGCAAGGGUCUUUACAAGCGCAUGAUAGGAUAGUCAUCGAACUUGAUGAGCCCAGCCUAAGAAUCUACUAGCCGGUUGAGGUCCACACGAUGAUUGCGGUAUAAACAAAUUGCGUAACUGAAAGGAUAAUCAGGAAAGCCUCCAACGCAAUCUGCAUAAGAAAAACACAAAAAAUACUCAACAUUGGCUUCGUAGCUUCCAUUACUCUGUGAAGCACUUUGGAGAACUGAAACAUGGUUUGCUAAAAGGGAAAAGAAAAGAGAGGAAAACAACAGAAGCUUUUAGGUUCCUCACCAGAUGGCCACUGGUGACAGUCAGGGCAAUCUCUUUCCAAGCGAACCUGCAUCAGUGACAUUCAUUCUAGUUAUAAUCCAUUUUGAAAAGAUUCAAACUUUUAUAUAGGUUUUCAGUUCCCAGAUGUUUGGACCAUGUCCCCUUUGACACAACUGUAUUUCAACUGUUCGUACCAUGUUGAGGAGUACGACUUAUAGCUUGUUAUGUGAAGUUUAUUAUUGACUAGAGAUGCAAGUUUCGAUGAAGAUGAAAUAAAUACACAAGUUCUAGAGUCAAAA